rnacentral:misc_RNA from 1 species
GUGCAUUAUAGGUCUGCCAUGUAACAGUUGGCAUCAGAGCUUGAAAUGGAUGGCCAGAUUUCUUCUGCCCAUCUUUCUAUUACUCUUCUUCUUACUUUCUUGAAUUGCUUCUUUCUUUCUUGAAACUCUUGAAAUUCCAGAAAAUAUCUGAAAUAACAAUCUUUCUACUCUCCCUUUCUCUCUUUCCUCGCAAAUACUCCUUUCUUUUUUUUCUAACUUCUUUCAAUCUCUUUUUCCUUUCAUUUCUGCUCUGUUAGGAUUCCAAAACCCUAAUAUUCGAAAUUCCAACAAAUAUCAAAAAUCAAUACAACAAUUAUCAUUCUACUUCUUCUAUUUUCUCUGAUUCUUCCUUCAAUUAUGUUUCUCUUUUCAACUAAUCUUUUUCUUAGAUUUAUCUUUUAGGGUUUCCAUUUCCAUUUCUCUAUCAAACCUCUGUUGCAGAAUUGUUGGAGCAUCCAUGGAACUACAACCUUGGCA